rnacentral:misc_RNA from 1 species
GCCAGUCACUCAGGAGAUCGCAAGAACCUGAGGC